UGGUCAAACAUGAUUACAAUGGUUUUAGUAAUCUAAUUUAGUCACUUUAAAUCAAUGCAAGAAAAAUGAGUAGUCUCAGUAUUGUUUAUAAUCAAGUAAAUGGUACUUUAUUUAAUCAUGUAAAUAAGAGAAACAUGAAAAGCUUGUGUAGCAUUAACUAAAUUCAUUUGUGCAAAUUCAAAAGCCUGCCAAUUCCCGUUUUUUCAGUGUAGGCUAUUAGAGUUUUUAACCCUGCAAAGUGAUUGCCAUGCCAAUAUCCAUAAGCCUUAAUGCUAAUUGCUAACUAUGCAGUUUAAUAUAACAUAGCUGUAUAUCGAGAUAGAAAUAAACUGAGAAGUGAGUUUCCAUUUUCACACAUGCAUGAAAAAUGAUUUUAAAGGCUUGGUUAAGUUAGCAGUUGGCAUUAAGUUAGCAACUUAUUUCACAUUUACAGUUAGGUCGUUUAGUGUUUCGGUGACCCGACAAUGUUUUUUAAACCUCCACAGUGGAUUUUAAAUCAAACAACCAAGAUAAGAUUGAGGGGCAGACUUUCAACUUUAAUUCAAAGGAUUUAAAUAUUUCAUUAAUUGUUUAGGAAUUACAGAAAUUUCUUUUUAAACAUAGGAUUUCAUAUGAUUUGAUGUGUGUUGGAUCGUGAGCGGUUCAUUUCUUCUCUGUACUUUUCUCAUCCCAUCAUUGUAGUACAUUUUAAUCUUGGUCCAUCCUCUUCUUGAGAAUCGCAGCAUCUCUAACCCUUACUCUCCCUCUAGCACAAUUUUUCACAACUUUAUGUUGCACAUUUUUCUGAAAGUGUUUUUAUAAUAAUCAGAAAAUAGAAUAACCUUUUAUUGUCAUUGUACAUGUACAACAAAAUUGUGGGUGCGCUACACCAACCGUUCAUGGAAAAAUCAAAAUAAAAAAUAAAAUAAAAUUAAAAAUAAAAACAGCAAGACAGUAAGACUGAAUAACAGACAAGAGGAAGACAGUUACCCUAAUUAGACGUUCUUUCAGCUUUUCCUUUUUACUCCCACUUACUCUUCUGGUCUUGUGUUAUCCCUGUCCCAACUUCUUUUGAGACAAUUUUUCUGCUGGCGUCAAAAUCAAAAUAAGUGACCAUUUCCUUAAAAUGCCAUAGUUUCUUUCUUUCUCUCCUUUUGUUGGGAUUUGGUUUGUACUGUCUGAGAUGCAGUGAGUCUAUAGGCUGCAGUGUGCAUUAAAACCUAGCUUAGUUGACGUGGUACUCAUAAACAGCAUCAAUUAAAAGCUGGAAAGUCAAAGAAUGGUAAGUGAACUAAAUAGUCCUUUCUGGGAGAGACUUGGUGCUUGUAUGUUUCCAGAGAAAAGUCAAAAGCAAUUGGUACAUUAAAAAGACCAGACGCUCAUCUGAAGCAGUAGA
ensembl:lncRNA